rnacentral:rRNA from 1 species
AUGACCCUGCACUCUUCAUUCAUACAUCUGAGCAUGGCCGUACAUUGCUUCUACUUUGUAGAUGACAUGUUGAUCACUGGAGAUGAUGUUGGGUAUAUUGAUUUUGUUAAGAAAAAAUUGAGUGAACAAUUUAAGAUGUCAGAUUUGGGGUCUCUCAGCUAUUUUCUCGGGAUUGAGGUUGAGCACACCGAUGAUGGUUACUAUAUCUCCCAGCAAAAGUACACUCAGGAUUUGAUUCUUCGCUCAGGUCUCACUGACACGCGCAUUGCUGCUACACCUAUGGAGCUUCAUCUGCAGUUGCGUCCUACUGAUGGCACUCCUCUUGAGGAUCCCUCUCGCUACCGUCACAUCGUCGGCAGUCUAGUGUACCUCACAGUGACCAGACCUGACAUCGCACAUGCAGUCCAUAUUCUCAGUCAAUUUGUCUGUGCUCCCACCUCAGUUCAUCAUGGUCACCUAUUCCGAGUCCUUAGGUAUUUAAGGGGAACUACAUCUCGCCGCUUGUUCUAUGCUAAUUCCAGUCAGCUCCAGCUUCAUGCUUACUCUGAUUCCACUUGGGCGAGUGAUCCUAUUGAUCGUCGCUCGGUCACUGGCUAUUGCAUAUUUCUUGGUACAUCUCUCAUUGCAUGGAAAUCAAAGAAGCAAACUGCCGUGUCUCGCUCCAGCGCCGAGGCAGAGCUUAGGGCUCUCUCUACUACUACAGCAGAGAUUGUAUGGCUUCGCUGGCUAUUGGAUGAUCUUGGUGUCUUAUGUCAUACACCAACACCGCUUCUUUGUGACAGCACUGCUGCUAUUCAGAUUGCUAAUGACCCAGUCAAGCAUGAGUUGACCAAACACAUUGGUGUGGAUGCAUUUUUCACUCGAUCUCAUUGUCAACAAUCCACUGUUAAGCUACAAUAUGUCCCAUCAGAGCUUCAAGUCGCAGAUUUCUUCACCAAGGCACAAACUAGAGAUCAGCAUAGGUUUCACACUCUCAAACUUGGUGUAUCAGAUGCUCCUGACCCACCUUAA